rnacentral:lncRNA from 1 species
CGGAGGACGCGGAGCGCGCAGUGUCCAGGGCACUGACCGAGGGUCUUCCAGCCGCUGAGGCCUCUCCAGCCGGUGGGGCAAUGGCAGCCACAGCUAAUGCAGCCUUGAAGACGGUCACUUGCUUGGUGAGCACCGUUACUUAGAAGAUAGGGCUCCAGAGGCCUUCCUCAAUCUCUCUGGACUUCUGAGAUUGGCCAGAGAUGGGGCCAAGGCAAAACCAACUCUCACACAAGGUGGAAAAGCACCUUCUGGUCCUGACAGAAGAAGCCCAGGGCCAGAGAAUCUAAAAGGGCCUCAGGGAAGUGGUGGGCUUCCACUGAUUCCUAACCGAUGGAUUUCCAGCAUUCCCAUUAGCUGUGAUUUGGAGACUGGACCACGUGGGGCGAGGGUCACCACAGGAACAUCCAUAAGGAGCCUGUUGCAGUGUCCAGAUAGCAAUGCCUGGACAGGAGGGGUCUGUGGGCAAAGAGGGGGAG